ACGCUCGACACCUACGGGAGACAGCAGUGGGGAAUAUUGCACAAUGGGGGAAACCCUGAUGCAGCGAUGCCGCGUGAAGGAAGAAGUAUCUCGGUAUGUAAACUUCUAUCAGCAGGGAAGAAAAUGACGGUACCUGACUAAGAAGCCCCGGCUAACUACGUGCCAGCAGCAGGCGGUAAUCUGAGCGGGCUGGCAAGGC
rnacentral:rRNA from 1 species